GUGGGCUUACGGUGAGUGUUGUUUGUGUCGGCAUUCCUCCUUGUAAACCGUGUCUCUCUGUAUUACAGGUGAAGAUGUCUUCCACAUUUCCAGUUGAUGAUUUCCCUGCUGGGACCGCAUCAGCUUUUCAGUCUUCCAGAAGCUCCUACCACCGUCCAAGGUCAUCACAGACAACGUGUGAUUUGUGGCACUGAGUCUCACUGUAGUUCAUUCAAUGACCUCAGCUCAGCGAUCCCAUCCACUCCCCUCCUUUGGGCCAUUCUACUGUCAGGCCAAUGAAAGCUUCUUACUGAUGCGAUUUGUGUUCUUGCCUGGCCAUUUCUAGCCUCGUGCCCCUUUGUGGCCUUUCUGAGAAUUGCAGUGAUUUCACUGUGUGCAUCCAGGUUAUUUCAAUUAAAUUGGUUUCAGUUUCGCAAUCAAUUCAUGUGAACCAAAUUGGUUUUAGCUUUGCCUUGCUUAUGGGGUUGGGUUAGCUUUGCUUUGUUUGUUUGUACCGCAGGGCUAACCCAACCCCAUAAGCAAGGCCUAAGCGCCGUUGGAGGCGAUUUGUGCUCCUUCCCGGCCAGUCUGCGAUUCGUGCCCCUUUGUGGCCGUUUGGAGAAUUGUGCUGAUUUAAGCACGCGUUUUCAAUUUAUCUAUUCAAAAUAGUCUUCAGCUUUGCAGUUACUUUGCAUUAACCAAAUUGACUUGGGCUUUGCAUUCAGUUAAUGUAAACCAAAUUGGCUUGAGCUUUGCCUUGCUUACGGGGUUGGGUUAGCUUUGCUUUGUUUGUUUGUACCGCAGGGCUAACCCAGCCCCGUAAGCAAGGCCCAAGGGCCGUUGGAGGCAAUUUGUAUUUUUUCCUGGCCAGUCUGAGACUCGUGCCCCUUUGUGGCCAUUUUCAGAAUUAUGCUGUUUUCAGCAUGUGAAUUCAAUUUAUCUCCACGAAAUUGGCUUUAGCUUUGCAUUGAAUUAAUGUAAACCAAAUUGGCUUGAGCUUUGCCUUGCUUACGGGGUUGGGUUAGCUUUGCUUUGUUUGUUUGUACCGCAGGGCUAACCCAGCCCCAUAAGCAAGGCCCAAGGGCCGUUGGAGGCGAUGUGUGCUCUUUCCCGGCCAGUCUGAGACUCGUGCCCCUUUGUGGCCAUUUUCAGAAUUGUGCUGUUUUCAGCAUGUGAAUUCAAUUUAUCUCCGACAAAUUGGCUUUAGCUUUGCAUUCAAUUAAUGUAAACCAAAUUGGUUUUAGCUUUGCCUUGCUUACGGGGUUGGGUUAGCUUUGCUUUGUUUGUUUGUACCGCAGGGCUAACCCAACCCUGUAAGUAAGGCUUGAGGGCCAUUGGAGGCGAUUUGUCUUCUUUCCGGCCACUCUGAGAGUUGCAACGAGUUGCAGCCCAAAUGAGAAUUGCAUUUUGUUUUGGACGGGCUGAGAUCUUCAUUGCUUUUGAGGUGGGUUGCAGUAUAAAAUGCUGGUGUAAUGUAAUCUUGUUCAUGGGAUAUGUAGGCCUGGUGAUAUUUUCCUGGUUUAUCUGUUACCUGUAAAAAUGUCUUGCAAGUGUAUUGAACAAGUGUAUGCUGCGCCUUUAAAUUGUAUCCUGCCAUGUAUGGAACAUGUGUAUGCUGUUCAUCAACUAAGUAUUGGAAUUGUAAUGAAUAUGAGUACCAUGUUCUGCUUGUAAAUGACUAGUUGCUGUUGUUAUAUUGUGCAUAUGCUUCUAAGAGUCGUGUCUUGUGGAAAUAAUGCUGCAAUAAAAUACUCAUGUCAUUUUA